rnacentral:lncRNA from 1 species
AUCACCAACACAACAUUGCUUGCUCAAUACAAAGAGAGCGCGGAUUCAUAAAGGCGCACGGUGAUUUGUAUUUAUUUCUACCACCACUGGAGCGGUCCAAGGUGCUGAAACAUGAAUCAAAGUGCGGGAGUAGCCCAAACUGUUCGUCGUUACUCUUCUGAUGAUAAGGGCUCAUCUACAAAAGAGACCGUGGUCUCAGCAUGACUCCCUGCUUAAAUCAAGCUGGAAUGGAAUGGCUGUGUCCUUUAUAUCUGACGGAUAUGUGGUUGUCCCACCUAGCUGUCUUAAGGUGAAUGUACUUACUGUAAGUCACUCUGGAUAAGACCAUCUGCUAAGUGACUAAAAUGUCAAAUGUAAAUGUUUUAUAUACAGAUCUGAUAUUGCUGUAUAGAUUUUUAUUUCACAAAUGUUUCAUUUGUACAGUUCUUAAGUAAAAAUGUUAUUUGUUACAUUUAACUGUGUACAACCAAGCAGUACUACUUAUUUCUCUGAGGCGGAUAUAUAGUAUUUUGCAAAAAAAAUAUUGUUUUCAUUUCAGAGACAAAUAAUCAAGCAAUAUAUUUAAAAGAAUACAUGUCUGUCAUUGAACAACCCCAUGUCAUGAUUAGAUAGUAAAAAAA